GUUUAUACCGGGGGGGCGGUAAGCGGGAGAGUACUCCAGACACCAUUCUCACUUGCUUUUAAAAAAAAUAAUAACCCCUUUUUACUUCUCCAUCGACUUCUCCAUGUGAAGAUUCCCUUUACUCCUACGGGAGGCAGCAGUAGGGAAUCUUCCACAAUGGACGAAAGUCUGAUGGAGCAACGCCGCGUGAGUGAAGAAGGUUUUCGGAUCGUAAAACUCUGUUGUGAAGAAGAACACGUCUGAGAGUAACUGUUCAGACGUUGACGGUAUUCAACCAGAAAGCCACGGCUAACUACGUGCCAGCAGCCGCGGUAAUACAAA
rnacentral:rRNA from 1 species